GUGAGGAAUAUUGGUCAAUGGACGAGAGUCUGAACCAGCCAAGUCGCGUGAAGGAAGACGGUUCUAUGAAUUGUAAACUUCUUUUGUGCAGGAAUAAAGUGGGUUACGUGUAACCUUUUGUAUGUACUGUACGAAUAAGGAUCGGCUAACUCCGUGCCAGCAGCCGCGGUAAUACGGAGGAUCCGAGCGUUAUCCGGAUUUAUUGGGUUUAAAGGGUGCGCAGGCGGGUUGAUAAGUCAGCGGUGAAAGUUUGCAGCUUAACUGUAAAAUUGCCGUUGAAACUGUCGAUCUUGAGUGCAAAUGAGGUAAGCGGAAUGUGUUGUGUAGCGGUGAAAUGCUUAGAUAUAACACAGAACACCGAUUGCGAAGGCAGCUUACUGGGAUGCAACUGACGCUCAUGCACGAAAGCGUGGGGAUCAAACAGGAUUAGAAACCCCGGUAGUCC
rnacentral:rRNA from 1 species